GGCGACUGAAAAAGGUACAUGCUAAUCAUACACAAUCCACAGAAUAUGACACCACUUGUGUAAAAUAUACAUCACAUGAGUACUAAAGCUUCCAAUAAAUUCCUUGGCCGUGUAAGAUGCCUGCGAUGAUACCCCAGAAGAGAAUCUCCGCAAAGAUGACAUAGAGUAGAAUGCCUACUCUUUGAGAAUGCCAAACUCCAAUGAA
rnacentral:misc_RNA from 1 species